rnacentral:misc_RNA from 1 species
GAGACGUCGGCUUCCGACCGGAAGUGAGAAGAGGAGGAAGUUGGCUGGUUGCACCGAUCUGGGGGCUUCCCGGGCUCGGGUAACCGGAGUGCUGGUAUCUAAUCGUCGCUCAAAAGCUCCUAGGUAUAUCCCGUGCCUUACCUGACUGGGGGCUCUGAGUCCAGUUGUGUUGUCUUCAACUUAGACACCAUGGAGGCACCUCCAGUCACCAUGAUGCCUGUCACUGGGGGCACCAUUAACAUGAUGGAGUACCUGUUGCAGGGAAGUGUUUUAGAUCACAGUUUGGAAAGCCUCAUCCACCGCCUUCGUGGUUUGUGUGACAACAUGGAACCUGAGACUUUCCUUGACCAUGAGAUGGUAUUCCUCCUUAAGGGCCAGCAAGCCAGCCCAUUUGUUCUCAGGGCCCGACGCUCUAUGGACAGGGCAGGGGCACCCUGGCAUCUGCGCUACCUGGGACAGCCAGAAAUGGGAGACAAGAACCGCCAUGCCCUGGUGCGAAACUGCGUGGACAUUGCCACAUCUGAGAACCUCACCGACUUCUUGAUGGAAAUGGGCUUCCGCAUGGACCAUGAGUUUGUUGCUAAGGGACAUUUGUUCCGUAAGGGCAUCAUGAAGAUUAUGGUGUACAAGAUUUUCCGCAUCCUGGUGCCAGGGAACACAGACAGCACUGAGGCCUUGUCACUCUCCUAUCUCGUGGAAUUAAGUGUGGUAGCACCCGCUGGGCAGGACAUGGUCUCUGAUGACAUGAAGAACUUCGCAGAACAGCUAAAACCUCUGGUUCACCUAGAGAAAAUAGACCCCAAGAGGCUCAUGUGACUAAGAGGAUCUGUCCACAUUUGGGGCCUAUCCUUACUUGUUUGAA